rnacentral:rRNA from 1 species
CCCUACGGGGGGCAGCAGUCGAGAAUCAUUCACAAUGGGGGAAACCCUGAUGGUGCGACGCCGCGUGGGGGAAUGAAGGUCUUCGGAUUGUAAACCCCUGUCAUGUGGGAGCAAAUUAAAAAGAUAGUACCACAAGAGGAAGAGACGGCUAACUACGUGCCAGCAGCCGCGGUAAUACGUAGGUGGCAAGCGUUGUUCGGAAUAACUGGGCGUAAAGGAUGCGUAGGCGGUUAAACAAGUUAUAUGUUAAAUAU